CCCUUAGAUGUUCUGGGCCGCACGCGCGCUACACUGAUGCAUUCAACGAGUCUAAAACCUGCUCUGAUAGGGGUGGGUAAUCUUUUGAAUGUGCAUCGUGAUUGGGAUAGAUGAUUGCAAUUUUUCAUCUUCAACGAGGAAUGCCUAGUAAACGCGAGUCAUCAGCUUGCAUUGAUUACGUCCCUGCCCUUUGUACACACCGCCCGUCGCUCCUACCGAUUGAAUGAUCCGAUGAAUAUCAUGGAUUGAGGAUGCAAGUAGGUUAGCCUAUCUUCAUCUUCGAGAAGUGAAGUAAAUCUUAUCAUUUAGAGGAAGGAGAAGUCGUAACA
rnacentral:rRNA from 1 species